GAUGAACGCUGGCGGCGUGCCUAAUACAUGCAAGUCGAGCGAACGGACGAGAAGCUUGCUUCUCUGAUGUUAGCGGCGGACGUGUGAGUAACACGUGGAUAACCUCCCUAUAAGACUGGGAUAACUUCGGGAAACCGGAGCUAAUACCGGAUAAUAUUUUGAACCGCAUGGUUCAAAAGUGAAAGACGGUGUUGCUAUCACUUAUAGAUGGAUCCGCGCUGCAUUAGCUAGUUGGUAAUGUAACGGCUCACCAAGGCAACGAUGCAUAGCCGACCUGAGAGAGUGGACGGGCACAUUGGGACUGAGACAAGGCCCAGACUCCUACGGGAGGCAGCAGUGGGGAAUUUUGCACAAUGGGGGAAACCCUGAUGCAGCGACGCCGCGUGAUUUAGAAGGCAUUCGGGUUGUAAAAAUCUUUUGUAUAGGAAGAAAAUGACAGUACUAUACGAAUAAGGUCCGGCUAAUUACGUG
rnacentral:rRNA from 1 species